CUGCGGUUCAAUUGGAUACAACGCCGGGAAAAAUUCCCAUGUUGUGUUUUCGGAAAGCUACCUUCGGUGCCUUUUUAAGGCAAAAGUGGCUUUCGAUAAAUAUGAAUUAUAUUGAGCGCGCGAUCCUCGAAAAACAAAGGGCGGCAGAUGUUCUGAUGCCCCUAAUCGAGUUUGAGGCUUGUUUCUUAGGGGACGAGUCAGUGAAACUUGUUCAGGGACGGCAAAACCAAAGCCAGCUGGAACAAAUCUACCGGAUUGCCAAAGCGCACAAUUGGGCUACGCCCAAGGGUGUGACGCAAUAUAGGACGGGCAGUUUCGCUUUUUCCUUAUCCAAGGCGGGCUUCAAGGAAAUCUAUUCCUUGGGCGGGCCGAUGAGCGAUAAGAGAAAGGACGAAUGGGCGCGUCUCCUGGUGGAGAGGGCCGGCAUAAAGGGCGGCUGCCAAAAAGGAAAAUCUUCUACGGAAUGGCGUGUUGUAUCUGCCUUACAAAGGCACCCUGGUGCGUCAGUGGAAGAAUUAUGCCUUCAAUUACGGCUCCAACCGGGAACCGUGAGGGAGGCGCUUCGAGGAUUGUGAUUAUAUUUAUUGGAAACACAGGACAAAUUUUCUUUUUGUCCGGGAAUUACCGAUUAUUACCAAGGGCGACGGCAGGAUGAAGGCCAGACUAAAGAUCUUGCCUAACGAGCCGAGAGGUGCUGCAUGGCCAUCGUCAGCUCGUGGUGCGAACUGUCAGGUUAAGUCCUGAAACGAGCGAGACCACCGCGUACUGUUGCGAACUUCCCCUCCGGGGGAGGUGCACCCUGUACGGACUGCCCGCGUUAAGCGGGAGGAGGGAGGUGGCGACGGUAGGUCAGUAUGGCCUGAAUCCCCCGGGCUACACGUGGCAUACAAUGCCAGGGACAAUGGGCUGCAACCCCGAAAGGGGAAGCUAAUCUCACAAACCCUGGCUCAAUUCGGAUUGAGGGCUGAAACUCGCCCUCAUGAAGCUGGAAUGCCUAGUAAUCGCUUGUCAACAUCGAGCGGUGAAUACGUCCCCGCUCCUUGCACACACCGCCCGUCAAGUCACCCAAGCUAGCUUAGGAUGAGGCGGCCUCUUCUGGGGCCUUCGAAUCCUGCGUUGGUGAGGGGGGCUAAGUCGUAACAAGGUAUCCGUAGGGGAACCUGCGGAUA
rnacentral:rRNA from 1 species